AACACACCUAGUUUCCCUCCAUCAAAAUGCAUACAAAAUUAAUUCCAAACGUUACUAAUACAUUUUUCCAAACAAGUCAAACAACAUUUACAAUCAAACCUUAGGUACCCUAAUAUGUAAAUAAACAAUCAAAUUUAAGACAGAGAAUCGUUAGUCUUUCCCGGAGAAAAAUUCCAAAGAACGCGCUCUCUUCCACGCACGCGCUUGGAAACACUACAGCCAAAAUGGGAGCCACCUAGAAAAACUACAAUUUCCGGCUCAUUUGUCCAAAAACCAGCCUGAAACUCUUUCUAAAGACUGUUGACAUCUAGUGGAAGCCCUAGGAACUGCAAUCUGGGAGUACUUGGCCUUAUAAUAAAAGUGAUAGUCAUUGAAAAUAGUGGUAGGCCCAAUAAUUUUGUUGUUGGGAUGGUUUGUCCUCAGGGUUUCGCCUGCCAUAUCAGUUCUGUUAUACUCACAGACAUAAUUUUAACCGUUUUAGAAACUUUAGAGUGUUUUCUCAUGUAUAUGCAUAUCCUAGCUUCUGGGCCUGAGUAACAGGCAGUUUACUUUGGGCACGCUUUUCAUCCGGUCGUCAAAAUACUGCCCCCUACCCAAGAGAGUUUAAGGAAGUGAGAUUAUAGUGAGAGUGUACCACUACAUCCCAGUGUAGAAGUAGAACUGAUUCAUCCAUCCUGUGCUGCUCUGCAUCGGUUGUCAUAAUGAGGGCUCUGUUCAGACUGACCCAGGAAAGAGUCCUCUCCUUGGGGCAGAGAGAAAGGAGAACCAUCCUGGAGCUCUACGGCAGCUCCACUCCAGCUCAGCACUGGUGUACAGACAGCGUGGACAUCACCAUGACCCAGUCAGAAAUGUCUUCUUUUUAAGAACAUCACAUUACAAGUAUUCUGGAUGACACCGUGGAAAAGGAACAACAGUAAAGAUGUGAGGCGGCUGCAGGCCAUGGUGACCUCUGUGUUUGGCCUAGUAAAGUCUAGCCAGCACCAGCCACCUCAGUUUGUCCAAGUCCCCUUCCACCACUACAGCCAAGCCCUCCAGGCCACUGUACAGGCCCAUCAAAGGAAACAUGGACUACUCAUGUAGGCACAAGCAAAACAGAACACAAUAUUCUCCUUUGGGAAAAAUGUGUUCCCUUUGAUUUUCUAUUAUUGUUGUUUUUAAUGUAUUUUAUUGUGUAUACAUGAGAACAUUACACACUAAAUAGGAGCAAUUACACAUUUAUUUACAAAAAGUUUAGUGGUCAUUUCAGAAGCAGUAUAACACAGUAUACAACAUCAAAUGGAACAUCUUUCAAGUCAUAUUCACAGUGUCAAGAACAACAUAAGGGCAGGUAGAGUGUAUAAAAUACAGUACAUAUCUGAAAUAAUGUUAUUCAUGUUUUCUAAAUUGAAAUGAUCGGACAUACAUUGCAUUAUUCAAAACUGAUCCCUCCAUCGAACGUACCUUUUGAGAACUACACAUGUUAAUGUUAUUAGGAAGCGACCUGGAAUGCUAGCUUAGGACCACAGCUUGAGAACCGGUUCUACCCAACACAUCUUCAUAUGAACACAAUUUUAGCUAGCAGGGUUGAGGUCAAUUCCAUUUAAAUUCUAGUCAAUUAAGAAAGUAAACCAAAUUCCAAUCCCAAUUUUUCCCAAUUGAAAAGCAUUGAAGAGAAUUGGAAUGUCAGGGUACUUCCUGAAUUGACUGAAACUGAAAUAGAAUAGAAUUGACCCUGGUAGUUUGGGGAGGCCUGUAUGCUACGUUUUAGUUAUCUUACAAUGGAGAAUAAGCUGCAGAGUAAAGAAAAUCCUAUUAGUGUUUAAAUUAUGUCUUAAAUGUCUAUGAUUGAAUGUAAAAACAUUGUCGCUGUCAUUUUUAGAACAAUCCAUUACAAUAUACUGUUUCCUCAACUGUUGUUUUCUUGGUUUGGGGCAUUUACUGUAUUGAUCAAUACCACCACAGAUUAUAGUUCAGUGGCUCUCCUCAACUCCUCAAGCUCUUGGCAGUUGGACUUCCAGUAGCAUACAUGUCAAUCAGGGGAGUGAUUUAUCCCAAACAGUAAGUACCCUGUACACAUGUGGACCUAACACACCACAGGGCAUACAUUUCAGAGGAAGAGCCCUCAUCUACUUAAACUGUAUUCUAAACUACAGCACCAAAGGACAACAACUUUAACACUUCUGUAAUACCUGUCCUGCUGGCUCCAGUGGUCAGCCUUAACGUUACCUCUGUCCGUUAUCCUUUAAAGGCCCAGUGCACUCAAAAACGUGAUUUUCCUAUGUUGUAUAUACACUCACUGGACAGUUUAUUAGGUACAACACCCCGUUUACAAAGAUGCAUCGCACCAAUAGACAAUUAGACACGUGGCCGUGGCUUGCUAUAUAAAGCAGGCAGAAAGUAAUUGAGGCGUUCAAUUGAACGUUAGGAUGGGAAAAAUUUGUGAGCUAAGGGACUUUGAGCAUGGUAUGAUCAUCGGUGUCAGGCACACCGAUUCCAGUAUCUCAGAAAUGGCCGGCCUCCUGGGCUUUUCACGCACGACAGUGUCUAUGGAUUACCAAGAAUGAUGCGAAAAAACAUCCAGUCAGCGGCAGUCCUAUGGGCGAAAACAG
ensembl:lncRNA